CUCUAUUGCUGUUAAGCAAACACUUACCAAAAUGGAGAAGCUGGGAGCAAAACUGAAGAUCCUGGCUGCCCAAUACUCAGGGUUUAGUUGCAGGUGAAUCUUAUUGGAAGAAGAACAGGCCAUGAGGCCACUGGAAGUUCAUUAGAAUAAUUAGAUUAAGGAGAGAACAGAGAAGAUAUAAAAAGAAGAUUCCAAACUUUCGAUUUGAAGCCCGAAGAUUCUAGAAUAGGAAAGUCUUCUGAAUGUGUUAAAGUGAAUGUGAUAACUACAGAAUGAAGACAUACUCAAGUCACGCAAGGAAAUACGUGCAGCAAUGAAAAGGAGCAGGUGCCAAACUCAAAGGGAAUGGAAUAAAAGUU
rnacentral:lncRNA from 1 species